GCCUUUUCAUUCGCCUUAAUUCACUGCGUUUCCUUUCUUGCUCCUUGCGAGGAACAGAGGGAGAGCUUGUUCCAGCAGACGGGCCCCAUCCGCCCCACCCGGCUCCGCUGGAGCGAGGGCUGGAAAAGCGGCAUGCGGGCGAAGGGGGGAAUCUCCCACCCCUGCGGGGCCUCCGCGCCGCUUCCCAGCAAAUACGCCAAACUUCUCGUCCGGUGACCGAGUGUUCCCCUCCGGAAGGGGCUGCAGCGGGGAGCCGCGGUCCGGCCAGGGUGACAUUUGCAGCGAGCCCAGGGUGACAUUUGCAGCGACCGGAGGUCACCCGGCGGAAGAAAACAAACGCAGCAAAAGCAGCAAAAGCAGCGCUGGGCGGCCACGGAGCGGCCCCGCAGAGAGGGGAGAGCACCAGAGGGGCGCUGAGGACCUGCAUUUGCCUCACACCAUAUUCCUUCUACUUUCCAUAAAACAUGUUUUUAAUCAUUGGCAAAACUUUUCUAUUUUUUUUCUUCUCUUCUCUUCUCUUCUCUUCUCUUCUCUUCUCUUCUCUUCUCUUCU
rnacentral:lncRNA from 1 species